rnacentral:rRNA from 1 species
GUUAACGUUCAUUCCACGUUGAAACCACCAGUUCUCGUCCGAUCACUGAAGUUAAGCAACGUUGGGCGCGGUUAGUACUUGGAUGGGUGACCGCUUGGGAAUCCCGCGUAAUGUUGACA